rnacentral:lncRNA from 1 species
GUAGGUGGCCAUUCCCUUCUGACAUGUGAUGCAUACUUGUGUAACGAUGGGUGCUGUCCUAGAUCAAUGGAAAGCACACUUGGAGAUGGGGUCCAUUCAUUAUGUGAACGGGCCUGUGCUCCGUAGCGUCGUGGUGUUUCUGCUGUUGGGUGUCUCCUACAGUAAGCGCAGGUGCAACUACACGGAUAUACUCAGCACGUACAGAGAACUAAUCUUCGUUGAACUUCAGAAUUUGCUGCAGCACGUGUUGCGCUCCAUCCAUGGUAUGACGGAGCAGUUCCUGUGCCAGGGCUGGGACCAGGGACACGGGCGGGGCAGCAGACAGCAGAGGGGCAUGAAGAAGCCAGUGGAGAUGAUGGCAGUGCUGAUCAGACAGAACUGCAGGCACACUGACCUGGUGAGGAGACAGAAGAGAACAGCGCCGUGUGUGACUGCCCAGAGGACGAAGGGAAAGAAUAGGACGAGGAUGAGACUCAUCAGGGCACUGAUAAACUGUUGGCAGAAGCUGCAGAGUUUGUACACACCCACAAAAUAAUUUGAAAAAAAAGUUAUAUUUUUAUCAAAAUUGUUUGAAAAAAGCAUUUAUGGAUUGUGUUUGGUUCUUAUUUGGUAGAGUAGAAUGACAGUUUGUAUGUCAGGAAUGGCCCUCUGUUUAUGACCUUUUACUUCUUGUCUGUACAGUCCCACAUGUAUAAGCUAUAGGUCACCAUAGAUCAGGGAUGGGCCACUUUGAUGUGGGCCGGGGCCACAAAGAAAACAAACUGAUCAUGCUUACUAUAAGUUUAGAUAGCUAGCCGCUAGACUAACUUGCCAAUCUAAAAAUGUUUUAAAGACUUGGGCUAAUUAAGUGACUGCUGAUGCACAACCACAUGUCGAAAUUGCACCUUGUGUAAUCUAUUAUUCUAACUCUUAUCAGUAAGUUGAGACCCGACUGAGUUGCCCCAUUAAUUAUGGUUGUUAGAGGAUGGUUUUACAAUGCAGUGAAAAUAUUUACUUGUAAUACCUUGGUGCACACACAUUUUAUAACUCUUAGCUAUCUCACAAUCCAGAUAUUGUUUUUGUGAAACCGAUAGAUACAUUUGCUGUUCUAUGAAAUGUAUUCAAGAUGCCCACUGAUAAAGGUUUCAUAAACUG